UUUAAUUGAAGAGUUUGAUCAUGGCUCAGAUUGAACGCUGGCGGCAGGCUUAACACAUGCAAGUCGAGCGGUAGCAGGGAGAAAGCUUGCUUUCUCCGCUGACGAGCGGCGGACGGGUGAGUAAUGUCUGGGGAUCUGCCUGAUGGAGGGGGAUAACUACUGGAAACGGUAGCUAAUACCG
rnacentral:rRNA from 1 species